rnacentral:rRNA from 1 species
GAUGAACGCUGGCGGCGUGCCUAAUACAUGCAAGUCGAGCGAACAGACGAGGAGCUUGCUCCUCUGACGUUAGCGGCGGACGGGUGAGCAACACGUGGAUAACCUACCUAUAAGACUGGGAUAACUUCGGGAAACCGGAGCUAAUACCGGAUAAUAUAUUGAACCGCAUGGUUCAAUAGUGAAAGACGGUUUUGCUGUCACUUAUAGAUGGAUCCGCGCCGCAUUAGCUAGUUGGUAAGGUAACGGCUUACCAAGGCAACGAUGCGUAGCCGACCUGAGAGGGUGAUCGGCCACACUGGAACUGAGACACGGUCCAGACUCUUACGGGAGGCAGCAGUAGGGAAUCUUCCGCAAUGGGCGAAAGCCUGACGGAGCAACGCCGCGUGAGUGAUGAAGGUCUUCGGAUCGUAAAACUCUGUUAUUAGGGAAGAACAAAUGUGUAAGUAACUAUGCACGUCUUGACGGUACCUAAUCAGAAAGCCACGGCUAACUACGUG